UAGUAGAGACUGGGUUUCACCCUGUUGGCCAGGAUGGUCUCAAUCUCUUGACCACGUGAUCCGCCUACCUCGGCCUCCCAAAGUGCUGGGAUUACAGGCAUGAGCCACCGCGCCCAGCCGAUUUUUGUAUUUUUAGUAGAGACGGGAUUUUGCCAUGUUGGCCAGGCUGGUCUCGAACUGCUGACCUUAGGUGAUCCGCCCACCUCAGCCUCCCUAAGUGCUGGGAUUACAGGCGUGAGUCACCGCGCCCGAUCUUGAAUGCUUUUUCUAUGCCUGUAUAAUAAAUACUAGUAAUGAUAGCUGACAUUUAUUGAAUCCUUACUUUGUACCAUGCUCUGAGUAUUUUAUAUAUGUUAUCUGGUUUGAUCCUUUCAAACCUGUGAAAUAGCAACAGUUAUGAUGCCCUUUACAAAUACACUUUCAUACAUGUACACUACAUAUAUAUUUAUAAAAUUGAGAUGAAAGUCUGUGAUACGCUAUUUUAGCCAAGUGCAGUGGCACAUGCUUGUAAUCCCAGCUAGUGGGGAGGCUGAGGCAGGAGAGUUGCUUGAUCCCUGGAGCCGGAGAUUGCAGUGAGCUCAGAUAGUGCCAUUGGACUCCAGCCUGGGCAAUGGGAGUGAAACCCUGUCUAAAAAAAAAAUAGAAAAAAAGUCUAUGAUAUGCUUUAAAAAUUUUUAAUACAAAAUCAAAAUUUUUAUAUGAUACAGUCUUCUGUAACAAGAUUUAUUUAUUUAUUUAAUUGAGAUGGAGUCUCACUCUGUCACCCAGGCUGGAGUCCAGUGGCGCCAUCUUGGCUCACUGCACCCUCCACCUCCCAAGUUCAAGCAAUUCUCCUACCUCAUCCUCCCGAAUAGCUGGGACUACAGGUGCGUGCCACCAUGCCCUUCUAAUUUUUGUAUUUUUAGUAGAGUUGGGGUUUCACCAUAGUGGGCAAGAUGAUCUCGAUCUCUUGACCUUGUGAUCCACCUGCCUCGGCCUCCCAAAGUGUUGGGAUUUCAGGCAUGAGCCACAGUGCCUGGUCGAUUUAAAGUUUUAAUCAAGUAAAUAGGACAUGUUUAUUAUUUAAAAUGUAAAAUACUACAUUAAAUUUUAUGAAAAGUGAGU
rnacentral:lncRNA from 1 species